AGCUCUUCUGAACAAUCCG
rnacentral:snRNA from 1 species